UAUCCAAGCUUUUGUUGGGCAUUUAUUCGUGUUUCAGCAACAUUUCUUUCUGAAUGCAGCAUCCUAGAAGCUUCACAAGGUUUCUGUGCUGAAGCCUGGCAAGGUGUAAGGCUUCACUUCUGAACUCAUCUAGUCCAUGGCCUAAACUCCUUAAAAGUUUCUUCAUUGUAAUUUCUUGACUGUUCUUCAACAUACCCUGAAAAUAGUCAUAAAUUGUAGGACUACUUAUUUUGUUCACAGGUAUUUUUUGGUCUUUAAUAUUCAAUUUUUAUCUCUCCUCUUCUUUCACAUUCUCAAAUCUUGUAGAAAUUUCUGCACAGUUAAACCUAAAAUUUCACAGAAAGUGAUUAUGUUUGUAUUAAAUUGACAGAAUCAGAAACUUUAUUUUUCAUCAUAUUCUUCCAAUGUAGUUAAAUUAGGUGAAUUAUCCUCCCAAUGUAGUUACAUUAUGCUAUGUCCCAGGUUGCAAGGUAGCAAAUCCAUCCAACAUUUGCCAAGAGAGCCAAGGCUAUUCAAAAUGAAUUCUUUUCUGGGAUUGAUCAGAACUGAUAUAUUGCUGAGUGUUUGAGGUGCAAGUGCAACUGCUUUUGUGCAAUAUGUUGAGACAGUGCGUCCAUGCUAUUUAACAGAAGAGGGUAGAUAGGUGCAUAUUCCAUUUUUGGAUGGCAUAAUGUAUUUUAUACAGAUGGCUUGCACUACUUAUUACCCUGUAGACAGGUCAAAAACCACCAUUCUUCAAGCUUGUUAUCUGUUGUAAAGUUGUCCCACCUACAUUGAGGGAAAUAGAAUGUUUUCCUCAGUAAGGUCACACAAGAAAAAGAACAAACUAAUCAACAAUUCAGUGGAUUUGCAGGGACCCACAGAAGGAAGCUAUCUAUGCAUUACUUCCCCCUUGUGUUCCGAAGAAUUUAUUCCAAGUUUUCAAAAAGCCAUUUAACCAUUUCGAGAGAAUUGACACCCUUCUGGUUAGAGACUGCGAUCAUUAAGACUGUUUUAUUUCCAAAUCAGACAGAACGAUAGAUAUCUGACAUGAAAUGAAAUCUUCAGCAAGUUGCAUAUUUUCAGAUUCUUCAGCCAUUGCACAACAUAGGGCCUGCACAAUUAUUUUUGGUUGAACCGAUUCCAUCAUUCCGGGCAUUUCUCUUUCAAGCAACUAGGCAUUUGGCCAGUGACAAGGGUGGGUUGAGGGGUAGAGUCGAGGUCAGGGUCAGAUUCAGAACCUUUUGAAUGGAAGUUUAUGCAGGAAAAAAGGUAGAGAUUUUUAUUUUUUAUAUAGCUUUAUUUACUGAAAAAAAAAAAUCAAAGUAUGGGGUUUGGGACAUUGCAAAAAUUUGCAGCAAGCUGAGGUACAUACAAUUUUAAAUUCUAGCCAUGGUGAACCUUUGUCUCUAAAUUCUACGAGCCGAAAUAAAUGCAUAUAGAGAGUUUGAAAUCAGUAAUAUUCUAGCGAAAGACUUCGUAGAUAUCAUUGUCCUGCAUCAUAGCCAUUCGAAAGCUAGCAGAAAGCAUCGAGCAACAGUUUGCACAUUACCAGAGAAAAGUGAAUCAUCAUUAAAAAAUUUACCAGAGAAAACUGAGUUAAAAAGUCUAACUUGCAGGUGCUUCAUCACGGCCUUCUUUUUCUGAACAUACACCAUCAGACUGAGACUUAGGAAUUGCAGCAAUGCUACAGAUAUCAAGCCUAAGAUCAGCUUCUCCUUCUUGCUUGAGUGACCUGGACUAAAGAGAACCGUCGGAGCACAAAAAACAUUGAGACUCACAACUGUUAAAGCGUACAGUGAGGGCGUUACACGAAAGACGUCUCUCAUCAAGGAUAAGGUGUAAUGCAGGCAGUUAUUAAUCCUAAUUAGCCCAUGAAUUAUUAGUCCGAGCUUUUAAGUAAAAGUAGAUUGACAGACUCGGAUUUGGGCUCUUUAUUGCCUGUUGAGAGAAGGAAUUGGGCUCUACUGAGCUUCAAACAAGAAAUAGGAUUUAUUGAAUAUUAAAAUAGAAUUGUUCGGUAUCCAUAUUUUGUUCCUGAGGCAUUUCUGUCUGUGUUUAUUGACGGGGAAAUUUUCUCGUUGGUAGCAAAAUAAUACCUGGAUCCACAUCAAACAUCCAAACAUAGAGGUCUUGCCCACCUUCAUUGCAUUCUCUAAUAUCAGUCAAGUCCCCAAACCACAGCAAACAUCGAUUUCCUCCACCUUCAGAAUCUAAAUUAGAGUAUGCUGUACAAGAACAGUUCCUUUUGCAAGCUUCUCCAAAUUCUUGAAGAUCCAUGCUCCUGUCAAACCAGGAGCUCCGUGUGUCUGGCAACUUUCAAUCAGAAUACUUUCUGAAUAUGUCUCUUUUACAGAGUGUUUAUCCCAACAUAACCAAUCUGGUUCAAUGAAUUCCAAUUUUGUGGGACUUUUGGCAAAAAUCCAUUCAAGCAUUUGCACACUGGGGACAUAUUGAUGUUGCAGCUAGCAUAGGCUUCACAAUAUUUGUAAAGGUCGCAAUCAUCUGAUGGUCCAACAAGAUAUAGAACCCAAUUCUGUGUUUGGUCAACCCAUGUGAAGCUCUGCACAACACCAUCUGGAUUCAAGUUCAAACGGGAUAUCGCUGACCUAUUGAGGAGUUCGUAGUGCUCAGUCAGAACAAGUUCAUACUUGUAGUUCAGAUUUGGGUUCAUAUUAAGCAUUUCACAAUGUCAGACACCAAUCCAUGGUCCUAACCUAGACUUGACAGCAGAGCUCUGCUUAAGAAGUAUCUGGGGAAACCCAUUUGGGUCAAGUUGGUAUGAGAAAUUACCUGGAGAAGGAUAAUCUACACUCUUCCAAGACGUCAGAAAACAAUCAAAGCCUGUAAUUCUGUUCCUCUCUAACUUCAUCCCCGCCAGAAAAUUAUCUGUUGGGUAGUCAAAACUCUGCCUUAGGAAAUGAUCAGAACCAGUAUUGCCUAAAUCUCUCACUACAAGAUUCCCCGAGUCCAGAAGUUGAGCAACUGGAUAACGUGAGGGCAUUGAUGAGUUGGAAGACCAGAUUUCACUCCCAAGAAGGAUGAGACUUCCCUGUCUAGUGAUCUUCAGAGUACCAGAUGAAUCAGUGAGUGGACUGACUCUGUUGGCAACCCAUGCUACUUUGAUGGGAUUUAUUUUCUUGUACCAUAUUCGGAGGUAAUGCUUUGCAGGAUGAUGGAGGCUCAAGAAUCCUAGUUCGAAGGUCCCCCAAGCUGAAACUAUGCUCUUGCCAUGUUGCAUUGAUUGAUCCAUAGUUAAAAUGUCAAGUUCACCAGAAAUCCCUGUGAUAGAGGAUGAAGUAAAGUACAAAAGAAUAAUCAAGGCUCCUACCACUGUUCCCAUGCUGAUUGAACCUGCAAAUUAACCAGAGAAUAGAAAUGUUUGAAGACCAGGCUGCCGUCUCAGAAAUUCUAUAAGUAUCAAGGGGUCAUCUUCAUUAUAUUUGACUUUGGGAAGUCACUAGAAAAGAUUCUUAAAGAGACUAACAUUCCAGUGACAGAAAAGCUGUGCAUUACAGCCCCUUCUGCGGGUAAUGACACUCUUCCAAGUCUUCAUGAACAUUUUCUUCAUUGAACCUUUGAACAAUCAACACCCAGGAAAUUAUGUAGUAAACUAACUUGAAAAGUUGAAUAGACUCUCUGGACUGUUAGAAAUCCAUCAUGGUUUUGUAUCUUUCAAAAAUGACGUGAAGACUUGUACCUAUAGAAGACCAAUCGACUUUCCUAUGCUAUGUGUCUUAAUGUGGGUAAAUAAAUCUGACUUAUGCCAGUCAUCACUUGAUGACUCAAGAAUGGCCAUCGAAGCAAAUUUGAGAGCAAGCAGAGUUGACAGGCUUAAGGUUGUGGACUCUAACUCAGCUUCCCUCUUGGCUCCCACAAGAGACGAAGAGUUCCCAGAUGACAUAGUGAAAAAAAGAGGCAAUUUUACCACUUGCUCCCCUUCCAGCAUAUGAUUCUGCCAUCUUCAUAGGUAUACAUGUCGUCAAAUUCAGAAAAAGAAAAACAAUGUUGACCAGUCACGAUCGAUAGUGCCAAGACCAUGGCCAGCUUAUGCUUCUUUAACAUUUGUAGUAGAUCUAAGAGAAGGAAGAGCAUACAAAUCAACAACUAUAAUUAGUUAUUGCAAGGGCCUAAAACCUUUUACUACCUGAUUUUGAGGCAGCCAUCCUGAUGUAUAAGUAUUGCCUGUUUUGAUUGUACUCUCUUACGUCCAUAAGCUCUCCAAACCACAGCAAGUGACUACUUCCUGCCCUUUUGAUAUCCAAGUUUGAAAAGUCAUACAAGAACAGUUUUUCUUGCAAAUUACUUUGCAUUUUUUAAGAUCUAUUGUCUUGUUAAACCAGGAAGCGCGUGUAUCUGGCAAUCUCACCCCCAGAAUACAUCACAAAUAUGAUUACAAUUCAAGGGACUUCUCACACACCAAUUUGACCAAUCCACAAUUUCCCAUUCUUGAGAAAACUUCGGUGUGAAGCCUUUCAAGCAGCUACACACGGCACGCAUCAACUGCAUCGGUACCAUAGGCACCACAAAAUGCAUAGGUGACACGGGUUUCUAUUGGAAAAGUGAGAUGAUCCUUCCAACCCUUUGCUCAGUCAAUCCAAGUUUUGCGUCCUAGAAUGCCAUUUGAAUUUAAUACCAAAUUGAAAACGAUCGAACUGUUAAGGAGCCCAGCACGUCUCCUUCUUAUUGUGCACAAAGCCGUACAAGAUGGGUUUGGAUUAAAAUUAGGUGAUCCACUAUCUAGUCCUGACCUGAACGUGAUAACAGAGGCCUGCCUUGACAAGAGCUGUAGGACUCCAUUUGGGUCAAGUUGGAAUGUGGAAUCAUCAGGAGCGGAAUCGUCAAUGCUUUUCCACGAUGAUAAAUAGUGUCGAACGCUGAUGUGCUAUUCUUCCCUUCUUCAUACCGGCUAGAUGUAAUAUUGACGGGUUUAAAAGGCUGGGAAGAAAAUAGAGGAAAUUUGAGUUAUCAACGAAGAAGUAAAAGUGCUCAGGUUAGUCGUAAAGGACCGGAGAGCACCCGCAUGAAAGAAAAGGAGAAAGAAAGGGAAAAAAAAAAGGAGGGAAAAAGGCAGACCCGGCUGUCCAUCAAGAGGGGGACGGAGCCUCAAACUCUUACACCCCGAAUCCAACAUGGAUGAGGAUGACAUGACCAUCCUUCCACCCAACAAACGUGACCUCGAACCACCAUAAUCCAACUCCCAAAAGCUCCCACGAUAAUGCUCUCGCUCUAACGACCAUUAAGUGAAGGACUUGAAAAAAUUGGGAUAAAGAAGCAUGAGUAAUUACAGCUCACUGAAUAGUACAUAUCUUAAAAGUAGAUCAAACCUCCACUUUACACAUUUAGAACUAAAAAAUAUUACUCAUUUAUGUCAAUCCAACAUAUAACAAAUUACAAAGCAUGAUUUCUCAUUUGUCCAUAAUAUCAAAACAAGUAUCAUUGGCUCGAUUCAGUAGUUGAACUUGUCAUAUUACACAUCAAUGGUUCAUUUCAUUAAUUAAACUCGUAUUACACGUCAAUUGUCUAUUUUAUUGAUCAAUCUCAUAGCACAUUAGAUCUUAAGACUCUAGAGGUGACUCCCACAAAACCACGUCAUCAUGUAGCACUUAGUUCUUGAAAUGGCUCUCACGAAAUUAUGUUAAUAGUACAAGUUUCUAGAAGUGGUUCACACGUAAUUAUGUUAUUGUAUAGUACUUAACCCUUGACCACAAGACUCUAGAGGUGGUUUGCAUUAUCGUGUAACACUUAGUUCUUGAUCAAUACAUAUCCAUGGCACAAUACUCUAAAGGUGGCUCCUACGAAAUUACGUUAUCAUGUAAUAUUUAGUUCUUUAUCGAUCCAUAUCACAAUUGGCUUCACAAACCAAAAUAUAACUUUUCACCAAUUAAUUAUCUCCACAAAACCAAUUUAGAAUCCAUAUCAUAAAUUGGGUUCACAUAAUGAAUCAAAUUAUAUUUUAUAAACCAUACUCAAGUCAACGCAACUCUUUCACAAAAGGGUUCCGCAAACCCAAAAUAUAUCCCCUCUCUCAGACAUUCACAAUUCAUUUUUCACCUCAUUUCAGAAUUCAUAUCUUAAAGGACCUCUUCCAUAAAUUGGUUUGCAACUUUUACAACACCUUCCAUUACACAUUCCUCAAACCAUUCUCAAAUGAAUAAAGUGUAAUAAAUGUCUGAUAUGAAAUUAUGCAUCAAAUAUGCUAUGAUGGUAUUUUUUGUCUUUUAGCCACUUCACAAUAUGCAUAUAAUAUACCUUAUACUUUUUAUUUUUGAAAUAUGAGUUUACAAAUUAAAAAGAGAGACAACACCACUCACUUGGAUAUACCCCAAACCAAAUAACAGAGCUCACUCGAAUUAAUGAACUUGUUGUCCUAUCAUAAGUGAGAAAUAGCAUCAAAAUCAAGUAAAACGUUAUUUCACUACAGCUUGACUAAACUAAUCUUAAAAGCUAACAAAAGAACUCUUAUGCGUCAACAAAUUGCUCACCCAAAGCGAAUAUUCAAACCUAAACUCAACGCGAAACUUGCUUGCAAAAUCCUAAAAUUUCACUCCACCAAAACUAUUGCGCCAAAAUGAUAUCCGUCAUAACCCAUGGCUCUACAACUCCAUAAACCCUCAUUUUCAUUAAAUCCCAAAGCUCAUAACUCAAAAAUUGGAUUUUGCAGCUCGAUUUUUUCAAAAUUCUGAAUUUGAGUCCUAAAUCCGAAAAAUACUUCAAUGGGAUGAACAACAAGGAUUAAUACUUCAAUUGGCAACGCAUCCACGACGGGCACGUGCAAAACCCCUCUUUUCUUUUUCCCUCCUUCCUUUUCCUUCUUUCCCUUAUUUCUUUUUGCGCGCACGAGCUCUCGGGCGCUCUGUUUCUUUUCUGCCGAGCAUCCCCUUUUUCUUCCCCCUUUGUCGACAUGUCAACCUCCUUUUAUUUUAUUUUUUUGUUUUUCUUUCUUUGACUUUUCAACUCUCUUUUCUCUCCCCUGUUCUCAUCGCGCGAGCUCUCGGCUUAAAAGAAAAGGGCCGAGUCCUUUUUACCCUUUUUCCUAUUCUCAGACUUUUCAACACUGAAUUUUUUUUUUCUUUCGGGCCCAUCACUCUUGACUUGGUUAAGAUAUUACACAAACUCUGGUUUUAAGGUCUCAGAAUAUGUAAUCUACACAAAAGUAAACAGCUAUUUCCAAACAACCAACUAUAUCCAAAAUAGGUACAUCUUGGCCAAGGACUAAUACCAAAAGAAUACGGCCUAAAAUCCCACGUUGAAGCUCUCCUCCUAAGUUUCACAGGGUAAGGAACCACCCUAGGAAUUAAAUUUAUUUCCUUAAAAGACCUUGACUCCGCUGUUGUCUCCGGCCCUGAGGAAAUGACAUCUCUCUGGUUAUUUAAACUUCCCUUUCGGCAUUCAACUUUGUAUAACCUUUUCUUUUCCAUUAAAAUAAGACAAAGUAUUAAUGCAGAAUGCUAAGACAAUAAGAAAUUUCAAUGUUUGUAGCCGGAAGUGUUCAACAAUGUGCAACAAUUUAAGGGGACGAAUCGUUCUGGGUUGCUGUGUAAAUCAUUGGUGAUGUCUUUCUCUCACAUUCCAGCACUUGGCUCUGCCAUCUUCACGACGUGUACAUGUCGCCAUAGAACAUAUACUUCUUCAGAUCAGAGAGGUCAGAGAUCAUGGUGAAAGCAUCUUCUACCGAGCGGAUAAUGCUGUCAAGGUAACUUCAUUAGGAGAGUAUGGUUCGGGCUGGCUUACACGAGCAUUUGCGUGAGGCCCUUUUGUUUCGCUGAAAAAUCCAGGCUCUUUUGGGGCGGACAGUGCCAUAUCGCUUCCCAGCAUCAGAAUCACCAUGUACACGGUUGGCCUGUCCUCGGGGCAUUUCUGGACACAUAAAAGGCCAAUGUGCAUGGUCCUUAUGAUUUCUGAUACGUUACAUGAGUUACCGACCACCGGAUCAACAAAUUCAAUCGAUCUUCCUUCUUGAAAUAGUUUCCACGCCGGACCCCAUUAAAACUAAUCUAUUAAAGGGUAGUUCUUGAUAUUUAGUGAACCAAAAAAAAAAAAAAAAACAGAAUUUCAAACUUACAUGUCCAAGAAGAUUCUGAGGGUGAUCUGAGUGAGAGAACCCUCUGUUUCUUGUCCCACUAAUUAUCUCCAGCAUCAAAACACCGUAGCUGAACACAUCCGACUUUGCUGAGAAAACUCCAUUAAUUGCAUACUCAGGGGACAUGUAACCACUGCACAAAUAAAUCCACCAAGUACAAUGAGCUUGAUAUCCAUUUGAUCACAGACGUUGCAGUGAUUUAAGUGCUUACUAUGUUCCAGCCACUCGCUUUGUACAUGCUUGUGUCUCAUUUCCUCCAAAACUUUUAGCAAGCCCGAAAUCAGAUAUCUUAGGAUUCAACUCACAAUCUAGCAAGACAUUGCUAGCUUUUAUAUCUCGGUGAAUUAUUCUCAGUCUGGAAUCUUGGUGAAGGUAAAGAAGACCCCGAGCUAUUCCACUGAUGAUGUGAAAUCGCUUACUCCAAUCAAGCAGCUUCCUCCGCUCCUGAUCUACAGAAGUUCAUUUCAUGUACUUCAAGUAAGGCCUGCACAGUUCAUUACUGCAAUUUGAAGAAGACAGAUGAACUGAUUCACGCUAAUGAAUGUUACUCUUAUAGAGUUCAUCAAUCUUUAUCNNNNNNNNNNNNNNNNNNNNNNNNNNNNNNNNNNNNNNNNNNNNNNNNNNNNNNNNNNNNNNNNNNNNNNNNNNNNNNNNNNNNNNNNNNNNNNNNNNNNUUUGCAUUUUCUCCGCCACGUCAGCAUGCAAAACGACGCCGUUUUGGACCGAGCUCGCCGGAAAGUCGCCACGUCAGCCAUUUGGCCGGAUUUUCGCCGGAGUGGCACUUAAGUGUCCCAUUUUACUCCGAUGAUGGCACUUAAGUGUACCAUUUUAAAGUUAUGGCACUUAAGUGUCCCGACGUGCCAAGUUAUGGCACUCCAGGUGUCCUCACCUCUCUGAUGGUCCAACAAGAUAUAGAACCCAAUUCUGUGUUUGGUCAACCCAUGUGAAGCGCCGGACAACACCAUCUGGAUUCAAGUACAAACGGGAUAUCACAGACCUAUCGAGGAGUUCGUUGUGGCAGUACCUCUCCUGCUCAGUCAGAACAAGUUCAUACUUGUAAUUCAGAUUGGGGUUCAUAUUAAGCAUUCCGCCAUGUCAGACACCAAUCCACGGCCCUAACCUAGACUUGACAGUGGAGCCCUGCUUAAGAAGUAUCUGGGGAAACCCAUUCGGAUCAAGUUGGUAUGAGAAAUUACAUGGAGAAGGAUCAUCUACACUCUUCCAAGACAUGAGAUAACGAUCAAAGCCUCUAAUUGUGUUCCUUCCUGUGACGGCCCAGGCGACGGUGCACGGGGAAGAGGGAUGGCGAUGCAUUUGCGCCUCAGUACCCGGACGUGCGCGAGAAGGGGCACGUCUCUUGUCCCACAUCGCCUAGAGAGGGAGUCUGAGCUAACUUAUAAGGCUUGGGUCCUUUAAUUGUACAAUGGGGGUAGCAUGGGCUAUCCCGAGAGAAACAAAACCGGGAGAAUUAGUGUUCAAAGCGGACAAUAUGUAUAUAGUGGAGUCCACCGGACGUGCGCUCUAACUGUAUUGCCUAAAUCUCUCACUAUGAGAUUUUCCGAGUCCAGAAGCUGAGCAACUGGAUAACGUGAGGGCGUCGCUGAGUUGGAAGACCAGAUUUCACUCCCAAGAAGGAUGAGACUUCCCUGUCUAGUGGUCUUCAGAGUACUGGAUGAAUCAGUGAGUGGAAUGACUCUGUUGGCAACCAUAUACUACUUUGAUGGGAUUUAUUUUCCUGUACCAUAUUCCGAGGUAAUGCUUUGCAGGAUAAUGGAGGCUGAAGAAUCCUAGUUCGAAUGUCCCCCCAGCUGAAACUAUGCUCUUGCCAUGUUGCAUCAAUUGAUGCAUAGUUAAAAUGUCAAGUUCACUGGAAAUCCCUGUGACAGAGGAUGAAUUAAAGUACAAAAGAGUAAUCAAGGCUCCUACCACUGUUCCCAUGCUGAUUGAACCUGCAAAUUAACCAGAGAAUAGAAAUGUUUAAAGACUAGGCUGCUGUCUCAGAAAUUCUUUAAGUAUCAAGGGGACAUCCUCGUUGUAUUUGACUUUGGGAAGUCACUAGAAAAGAUUCUUAAGGAGACUAACAUUCCAAUGAUAGAAAAGCUGUGUAUGACAGCCCCUUCUGCGGGUAACGACACUCUUAAAGUCUUCAUGAACAUUUUCUUCAUUGAACCUCUGAUAAUCAACGCCCAGGAAAUUAUGUAGUAAACUAACUUGGAAAGUUGAAUAGACUGUCUGGACUGUUAGAAGUCCAUCAUGGUUUUGUAUCUUCGAAAAUGACGUGAAGACUUGUACCUGUAGAAGACCAAUCGAGUUUCCUAUGCAUCACUGAUAUUGUACUUCUCUAAGCUCUCCCUCAAAGAUGCGUGUCAUUUUUCUCUUCAGUAUCUAGCAAAAUUCAUGUCUAUAAUAAAUGAAUACCUGAUUCUGACGCAGCCAUGCAGAUGUAGAGGUCCUGCCCGUAGUCGCUGUACUCUCUAAUGUCGAUCAGCUUGCCGAACCACAGCAAGCAACCACUUCCUCCAUCACGGAUGUCAAAGCUCGAAUAAGCCAUACAGGAACAAUUUUUCAUGCAAACUGCUUUGCAUUCUUGAAGAUUCAUGCCCUCGUUAAACCAGGAAGACCGAGUAUCCGGCAAUUUUAACCAAGAAUACUUCACAAAUAUGUCCUUUUCACAAUCCAAAGGAUUUCUUCUCACACACCCAUUUGACCAAUCCAAAAAUAUCCCACUCUUGAGAAAAUCGGGUCACAAAGCCUUUCAAGCAGCUACACAGUGGGGAAGUAUCGACCCCACUGCUACCAUAGGCACCGCGUGAUGCAUAGUUGUCACAUUGGUCUAUUGCCACGGUGAGGUAAAGCAUCCAACCCUGCUGUCAAUCCAAGUGAAUCGCUGUAACAUGCCAUUGGGCAUCAAUAUCAUCCUGGAAAUGACCGAACUGUUGAGGAGCUCGUAGUGGUAGUACAACUCUUCCUUAUUUAACACAAAUUCAUAUCUGUAGAAUGGGUUUGCAUUUAAACUAGGUGUGCCACUCCAUCGAAGAUGAUUCCAGGUCCUGACCUGAACUUGAUGUCAGAACCCUUCAAUAGGAGUUGUGGGUAGCCAUUCAGAUCAAGUGGACACGUGAAGUUAGCUGGAGAAGGAUCACCAAUGCUCUUCCGUGAUGUUAAAUAACGAUUGAAGCCUGAUGUUCUAUUCCAUCCUAUCUUCAUAUCGGCUAGAUAUGUAUCUGUUGUAAUAUAUGGGCUCUUUAAUAAGAAAGAAAAAAAAGAAAAAGAAAGGGUUGAAAAGUCAAAAAAGGAAGCUGAGGGAGAAGUGUGGAACCUUUAGCUGAGUUUAAAAAGAGAGAAAGAGGGAGAGAGAGAAGAAUAUCGGCAGAAGCAGGGGAAACCGCGAAACAGGGGAGAAGAGAGAAAGAAGAGAAAGGAAAAAGGAAAAAAGGGAAAAAUUUUGGCGCGCUCAUGAUCCGGACGCCUCAUCAAGCGGACUCAAGUGUGUUUUGCAAGGCCGGUAAGAAAUUGAAGCCUUUAAUCACUUACUUGAAGCAAUCGCUGCAAUUAGGGCUCGAAAUUUGGAUUUCUUGGGUAUUUGUGUGGUGAAACCCGAUUUUUGAGUCGUUAAGCUGUAUAUUUUUUAGAAAUGGCACUUUGGGAUGUUGUGAAGCUAUAGCAUUUUACGGAUCGUGAUUUGAGCUUGCGGCUUGUUCGGAACGGAAUUUUGAAGUUGGGGGCGCAGUAUGAUAUUAUAGCGAACAGUGGCUUCGAGUCUAUUUUUUGUUGUUGUUUUUGGUACUGUUUUGGGGCGGUUGAGUUAGCGUUGUUGUUGUACGUUAAGAGAGCUUUCUAAAAAAGACGGCUUGAAACGGAAUUUUGUGGAGGGAGUUAUGGCGUGACGAAGUUGGCGCAUGGGCCGCGCCCAGCUGAAAAAUGAUGGGUUUCGCUAAAUUGUAAGCUUUUGGGGCGCGUAGGUGUCGUUUUAUCGACUAAUAGGCCUAGUAUAGACGAGUGGUUAAAAGAAUAUUCUUUUUAUUCGGCCUUUUGAUAUUAUUUUUCUGUUAAUUGUUAGGAAUCCGAAUGCGUUGGUUCGUAUGAGCGUCGUAGUUGAUUUUUGGCUUUUCCCAGAUAAGUGACACUAUUUCUUCUUUGUAUUUUAAACUCAUGUUUUGAGAAACAUGGUGGAUUAUAUAUUCCAUGAGUUGAUAAAAAAACAUAUUUUGUUGCAUAAAACAGGAUCGAGCUAUUAUUGCCAUUUUUUUGUUGUUUGAAUGAACUAUAUUCCGACUUCGAUUUGAAUGGUUGUUUGAAAAAUGAUUUGUGAAAUUUUUUGUGAAAGAAUCUUGAAAUGUUUUGGAGAAUGCUUUGAUAUUUAUAUAUCGAAUUUUGAGUUGUGAUAUGACUUCCUUUCUGAUAUUGGAUUAUUGGAUAUUGUGAUUGGUGGUUGGUGCUCAAUGUUGCAGUGGAUCUUGAGGGGUGUGGGUAUGCACAUACUAUUCUAGGAUAUCUUUGUGGGCCGAGCCACCGGCUAAUAAUAGGUGGAGACCUUGCCAAGGGGGGAAUCUUGGUCGUUUUGUCACGGGCAUUACGCGUGACCAUGGUUAGACAUUUGAGCAUGACCAAACGCGUGACCAUGGUUAGACAUUUGAGCAUGAAUUGGUCAAUGGAGUGGACCAUUGACGUGUGAUUUGAGUUUGGUCGAUGGAGUGGACCAUCGAUAUGAUUUGAUGAAAUUAAUCAAUGGAAUAGACCAUUGAUGCAUGUUUUAUGAGAUUGACUAAUGGACUCGACCAUUGGUACUUUCGGUAUUUGAGUUAUGAUUUGGUAUUAUGAUAAAGUGCGUUAUGUUUGUGUUUUCAAAUGUGCAUAGUGAUUUCUCGAUUCGCUUAGAAGAAAUGUGUUACUCACUGAGCCGUGGUAGCUCACUCCUCUCAUCUAUUUGUUUUUCAGGUUCUUCAACGAGUCGCAAAUAUGUGUGAGCAUUUGUUCGGGGAGGACUUUUGUGGUGGAAAUUUUUGGGUAUGGCUUAUUCAUAGUUAAUAGGUCUAUAAGCUAGUCUUUAUAGAAGGUUUAUGUUUUGAUUUUUGUGGAUUAUAGAUAUACUCUGAUAUUGUAACCAAGUGUCCCUUUUUGUCAAAUAUAUAUAUGUAUAUAUGUUGAUAUCGGGUUAAAAUUUUGGUUAUGUUGAGGCUGUGUCCUUUGGAAAAAGGAUAGCUGUGUCAUGCCCCUUCUUCUUGUGAAUCGGGUGUGACAUCUGUAGGAUGGUCAAAACUCUGCCACAGGAAAUUAUUGGGAUCACUGCCAUCUGCAUCUCUCACAACCAAAUUUCCUGAAUCCAAGAGCUGCGCAAUUGGAUUAUGCAUCAGUAUUGGCGAGUUUGACAACCAGAUGUCACUUCCAUUCCCGUCAAGAAGGACAAGACUUCCGCGGCUAGUAACCCUCAAAGUACUUGAUGCAUCCGCAAGGGGUGCGACUCUAUUUGCAACCCCCACUAUUGUCAUUGUGGUUAUUUUCUUGUACCAUAUUCCCAGAUAUCGCUUUGGGGGAUCGCCCACACUAAAGAACCCCAGAUCAAAUGUCCCACCAGCAGAAAGUAGGUUCUCGUUGUCUUGAAUCGACUGAUUUGUUGUUAUGGUAUCUAAUGCAUUGGAAACAAGGGCAUUACAAGAGAAGAGAACAAGACACAUGGAAAGUGCCACUAAAGCUUUCAUACUGCUUGAAGCAGUCAAGUUCUCAAAAUCAGCGAAUCUGCUGAGUGAACUAAGAAGACGGAAGAAAGGGAGAAGAGAGAUCACUGAAGAAUGAAGACCCCUGCAAUCUCAAGGCUGAUGAACCGAUAGAAAGCCAUCAGAAAAAGCUAAUUCUGACAUCCACAAAAAAAAAAUCCUUGUAUUCUUGUUAGUCCCCCAAAAUUGAAUACGCUAUCGACUUAGACUAAUUCCAACUUCCUAUUGAUUGCCUAUUAUAACUCGUAGACAAUUGCCUAUCCUAACCCGUUGACAAUCUCAUAACUCGUUGACAAUUGCCUAUCCUAACUCUUUAACAAUCUCAUCAUUUUUGUUGUGCAACAUAAAUCUUUAGAUAUGGCAAGAAAGAUGAAGAAUGAAUUCACGAUGAAAUGCAUUCAAAUUAUGAAAGAAGAACAAAGAUAAAUACAACACAUCCGACUUGAACCUGAUCAGCUAAUGAAAAUUUAGGAAAAAGAGCCGGGAAAGAAAAGAUUAAAGUUUAACGAUUUGGGUUUAUUUUGUUUUUACUUUUGUGCUACAUAUGUAAGAACGAAUUGAGCUCAUGUUAUUACGCAGUUGCCUGAACUUUUAUUUGCUAGUUGGAGGAAAUUUCCCCCCUUAUGAAGUUGACUUGCCUUAUUUAAAAAUUUAAUAUUGCGGUGUUGACUAGUCAACUAGUCAAAAAGCGAAAAAAAAUUGAAAACGUAGAGAAGUGAGGAAAAAUUCAAACUCGACAAGCCGAAUUAACUACAUUUUGCAGCGUUUGGUGAGGAUUCAAGUCCUAGUUCAUAAUAAUUGGAGUACUUUUCAAAGUUAUGCCAUAUAUUCAAGAGAAAGUUCUAAAUAAUGGCUCGAAGUACUAUCGAUUUCUCAAAUAAAGGUUUGAAAUGAACCUUGUAUAAAAUAUUUGACCAAAAAAAAAAAAACAUGUCUAAAAUAGGAGCCCAAAGUAUUCUCAUUUUCUAAAAUUAGAGCUUGAAGUGGCCGUGUCAGUCUCAACGAAAGACUUGACCUUACUGGCUGCUCAAUGGCAUUUCCAUCCUUUAUAUUUUAUUAUUUUUUUACUUUUUUUCCUUUUUCCUCUCUUUUCCAUAAAAGAGACUUACACUUCAAGAAAAAAAAAAAGAAAAAAGAAAACACAAGUUAAAAAAAAUAGAUUGAAGCAGAGGGUUGAGGCUAGCCUUCCCGCCUGUGAUCGUGGCCUCAUCGCUGGUGUGGCCUUAACCAUGGCUGGUGGGGUCGCUGGCGCCUUGCCAACCUCAAGCCCUCACUAAAAACUUGACAUUCUCAGUUAGGUCAUACUUCUUCCGCUACAUUAAGAUCUUUAAUAUCAAUUGGCCAUUUAGGUUUUGUUGAUAAUAAACAUUUUGAUUGCUUAUUAUGUUAGUUAGGAAAAUAUCAUGGAUUGUCAUUUAAUCUUAGUAAAUCUAUCUCUCCUGCUCCAGCUCCUUCUAACCUUACACCUCCAUGAAAUAAACUUCAUAUAUAUAUAUAUAUAUAUAUUCAUAGCUCGACAAUUUUUUAAUCGAAACUUAAAGUUGAAAAUUGAUAAAACUUCAGAUUUAUGACCUAACUUCGAAAAUUAAUUUGAUUAGAUGAAUAGUAAGCUUGAAUACUUCCCCAGCUUUGCCAUUCGAAGUUGAUUCGGCUUGUCAGGCUAUUUGGAUUGUGAAUGCGUGAAAAUUCUCUCUUUUCCAUCUCCACAAACGCACCGCUUCUUGUCCGCUGAAUUCCUGUUCAAGAAGAGGAAAUAAAAUGUUGGGAAAUGGGCUGAGCUGGGCCCAUUAUUACAGCAAAGAGGGGGAUAGAUAAAUUAGAGAAUAGAAGCAAUGUGGACUAAUGUAGUUUUCUUUGUUUCUUUCUAAUUCCGGUGUUUUUUCCAUGCCAAGUAAUUUUAAAUGCCGGUUAAUGAGGGCAGAGUGAUCGUCAAGGCAAUGCCUGGAUGCAACACCCUACACAAAGGGAAAAAGGCAGACCCGGCUGUCCAUCAAGAGGAGGACGGAGCCUCAAACUCUAACACCCGAAUCCAACAAGGAUGAGGAUGACAUGGCCGUCCUUCCACCCGACAAACGUGACCUCGAACCACCAUAAUCCAACUCCCAAAAGCUCCCACAAUAAUGCUCUCACUCUAACAGCCAUUAAGUGAAGGAUCCGGAAAGAUUGGGAUAGAGAAGCGUGAGCAAUCACAACUCACUGAGUAGUACAUAUCUUAAAAGUAGAUCAAACCUUCACAUUACACAUAUAGAACUAAAAAAUAUAACUCAUUUUAUGUCGAUCCAACAUAUAACAAAUUACAAAGCAUAAUUUCUCGUUUGCCCAUAAUAUCAAAACAAGUAUCAUUGGCUCAAUUUAGUAGUUGAACUCGUUAUAUUACACGUCAAUGGUUCAUUUCAUUAAUCAAACUUGUAUUACACGUCAAUGGUCUAUUCUAUUAAUCAAUCUCAUAGCACAUUAAAUCUUAAGCUCUAGAGGUGACUCCCACAAAACCACAUCAUCGUGUAGCACUUAACUCUUGAGAUGGCUCCCACGAAGUUAUGUUAAUAUUACAAAGUUCUAGAAGUGGUUCACACGUAAUUAUGUUAUCAUGUAGUACUUAACCCUUGACCACAAGACUCUAGAGAUGGUUUGCACUAUCGUGUAACACUCAGUUCUUGAUCAAUACAUAUCUAUGGCACAAUACUCUAAAUGUGACUCCCACGAAAUUACGUAAUCGUGUAACACUUAAUUCUUACCGAUCCAUAUCACAAUUGGCUUCACGAACCAAAAUAUAACUUUUCACCAAUUAAUUAUCUCCACAAAACCAAUUUAGAAUCCAUAUCAUAAAUCAGGUUCACAUAAUCAAUCAAAUUAUAUUUCACAAACCAUACUCAAGUCAACGCAACUCUUUCACAAAGGGUUAUGCAAACCCAAUAUAUCCCCUCUCUCAAACAUUCACAAUUCAUUUUUCACCCCAUUUGAGAAUUCAUAUCUUAAAGGACCUCUUCCAUAAAUUAGUUUGCAACUUUCAUGACACCUUCCAUAACACAUUCCUCAAACCAUUCUCAAAUGAAUAAAGCGUAAUAAAUGCCCGAAAUUAUGCAUCAAAUAUGCUAUGACGGUACUUUUUAUCUUUUAGCCACUUCACGAUGUGCAUAUAAUAUACCUCAUACUAUUCAUUUUUUAAAUGGAUAAGUGUUCCAGAAGUCCUACAACUUAUCAUGAAAAUGCAUUUUAAUCCUAAAACUUGUAAAAAGUGCAUUUAAGUCCUAAAACUUGUCAAAUUAUUUCAAAUGAGUCCUAAGAUUGACGUCGUUAGCCUUUUCCGUUAAAAAUGCUGAUGUGGCAUUUUAAAUAAUUUUUUAUUUUCCAGGUUUAUUUUUUAAUUAAUUUUUAUCCAUUUUUUUAAAAUUAGAUUUAAAAACUAAAAAAUUAAAUUUAUUCUUAUCUUAUUUUCAACAAAAACUAAAAAGAAAAGUUAAAAAUUUUAUUUUUAAAAUUUUUAAAAAUAAAUUAAAAAAAUAAUGUUAACUUUUUAAAUAUGUUUUUUUAAUAAAUAUUUUAACUUUUUUUAAUUUUUUUGGUGAAAAUAAGAUAAAAUGAAUAAAUUUGAUUUUUUUAUUUUUUAAAUAUAAUUUUUUUUAAAAAAAAUUAAAAAAUAAUUAAAAAAUUCACGUGGAAAAUAAAAAUUUAUUUAAAAUGCCACAUCAGCAUUUUUAACGGAAAAGACUAACGGCAUUGAUCUUAGGACUCGUUUGAAACAAUUUGACAAGUUUUAGGACUUAAAUGCACUUUUUGCAAGUUUUAGGACUGAAAUACAUUUUCGUGACAAGUUGUAGGACUUCUGGAAUACUUAUCCCUUUUUUAAAUAUGAGUUUACAAAUUAAAAAGAGAAACAACACCACUCAACACUCACUUGGAUAUAUCCCAAACCAAAUAACAGAGCUCACUCGAAUUAAUGAACUACUUGUCCUACCAUAAGUGAGAAAUAUCAUCAAAAUAAAGUAAAACGUUAUUUUAACUACGGCUUCACUAAACUAAUCUUAAAAGCUAACAAAAUAACUCUUAUGUGUCAACAAAUCGCUCAUCGAAGCGAAUAUUCAAACUUAAACUCAACGCGAAACUUGCUUGUAAAACCCUAAAAUCUCACUCCGCCAAAACUGUUGCGCCAAAACGACAUCUGUCAUAAUCCACGGCUCUACAACUCCAUAAACCCUCAUUUUCAUUAAAUUCCAAAGCUCAUAACUCAAAAAUUGGAUUUCGCGGCUCGAUUUUUUCAAAAUUCUGAAUUUGAGCCCUAAAUUCAAAAUAUACUUCAAUUGGAUGAACAAGAAGGAUUAAUACUUCAAUUGGCAACGCAUCCACGACGGGCCGUGCAAAACCCCUCUUUUCUUUUCCCCCCCCUUCCUUUUCCUUCUUUCCCUUUUUUCUUUUUGCGCGCACGAGCUCUCGGGCGCUCUGUUUCUUUUCUGCCGAGCAUCCCCUUCUUCUUUUUCUUCCCCCUUUGUUGACAUGUCAACCUCCUUUUAUUUUUCAGACCAAAAAAAAACCUCCUUUUAUUUUAUUUUUUUUGUUUCUCUUUCUUUGACUUUUCAACUCUCUUUUCUCUCCCCUGUUCUCAUCGCGCGAGCUCUCGGCUUAAAAGAAAAGGGCCGAGUCCUUUUUACCCUUUUUCCUAUUCUCAGACUUUUCAACACUGAUUUUUUUUUUUCUUUCGGGCCCAUCACUCUUGACUUGGUCAAGAUAUUACACAAACUCUGGUUUCAAGGUCUCAGAAUAUGUAAUCUACACAAAAGUAAACAGCUAUUUCCAAACAACCAACUAUAUCCAAAAUAGGUACAUCUUGGCCAAGGACUAAUACCAAAAGAAUACGGCCUAAAAUCCCACGUUGAAGCUCUCCUCCUAAGUUUCACAGGGUAAGGAACCACCCUAGGAAUUAAAUUUAUUUCCUUAAAAGACCUUGACUCCGCUGUUGUCUCCGGUCCUGAGGAAAUGACAUCUCUCUGGUUAUUUAAACUUGUUAAGAACAGAGGAAAGAAAGAAGACUUCGAGAACAGAGGAAAGAAAGAAGGAGAAGCUAAUGGAAAACCAGUAAAUGCUAUCAAGUACGAAGGAAAAAGAGAAAGCGUCGAGAACAAAGGAAGGAAAGAAGCUGACGAAAAUAAAGAAAAGAAAGCAACAACAGAGAUUAUAACACGUGUGAAACUGAUUUACCAUUGAAGAAUCAGUAUUCAGUGUUGAGUCUGUAAAGUCAAACUUUCUGUUUUUUCCGUUCUUCAGCUUCAGUUAGUUGUUCUGUUAACCAGUUGUUUUUCAUUCUGUUAUCAUUCUCUGGUUAAUAUAAAGACUGAUGAGGACAGAGUAAAUGUGUGUGAAGUUCUUUUGAUGUAAGCGACCAUUCAGUGAAUACGAAUACACCUUCUCUCUGCAUCUUUUUCCUCUCUUUCGUUUUCACUUUCAGUUCUGUUCAUCAAAUCUCUUCAACUUCCCUUUCGGUGUUCAACUUUGUACAACCUUUUCUUUUCCAUUAAAAUAAGACAAAGUAUUAAUGCAGAAUGCUAGGACAAUAAGAAAUUUCAAUGUUUGUAGCCGGAAGUGUUCAACAAUGUGCAACAAUUUAAGGGGACGAAUCGUUCUGGGUUGCUGUGUAAAUCAUUGGUGAUGUCUUUCUCUCACAUUCCAGCACUUAGCUCUGCCAUCUUCACAACGUGUACAUGUCGCCAUAGAACAUAUACUUCUUCAGAUCAGAGAGGUCAGAGAUCAUGGUGAAAGCAUCUUCUACCGAGCGGAUAAUGCUGUCAAGGUAACUUCAUUAGGAGAGCAUGGUUCAGGCUGGCUUACACAAGCAUUUGCGUGAGGCCCUUUUGUUUCGCUGAAAAAUCCAGGCUCUUUUGGGGCGGACAGUGCCAUAUCGCUUCCCAGCAUCAGAAUCACCAUGUACAUGGUUGGCCUGUCCUCGGGGCAUUUCUGGACACAUAAAAGGCCAAUGUGCAUGGUCCUUAUGAUUUCUGAUACGUUACAUGAGUUACCGACCACCGGAUCAACAAAUUCAAUAGAUCUUCCUUCUUGAAAUAGUUUCCACGCCUGACCCCAUUAAAACAAAUCUAUUAAAGCGUAGUUCUUAAUAUUAAGUGAACCAAAAAAAAAAAGAAAAACAGAAUUUCAAACUUACAUGUCCAAGAAGAUUCUGAGGGUGAUCUGAGUGAGAGAACCCUCUGUUUCUUGUCCCACUAAUUAUCUCCAGCAUCAAAACACCGUAGCUGAACACAUCCGACUUUGCCGAGAAAACUCCAUUAAUUGCAUACUCAGGGGACAUGUAACCACUGCAUGAAUAAAUCCACCAAGUACAAUGAGCUUGAUAUCCAUUUGAUCACAGACGUUGCAGUGAUUUAAGUGCUUACUGUGUUCCAGCCACUCGCUUUGUACAUGCUUGUGUCUCAUUUCCUCCAAAACUUUUAGCAAGCCCGAAAUCAGAUAUCUUAGGGUUCAACUCACAAUCUAGCAAGACAUUGCUAGCUUUUAGAUCUCGGUGAAUUAUUCUCAGUCUGGAAUCUUGGUGAAGGUAAAGAAGACCCCGAGCUAUUCCACUGAUGAUGUGAAAUCGCUUACUCCAAUCAAGCAGCUUCCUCCGCUCCUGAUCUGCAGAAGUUCAAUUCAUGUACUUAAAGUAAGGCCUGCACAGUUCAUCACUGCAAUUUGAAGAAGACAGAUGAAUUGAUUCACGCUGAUAAAUGUUACUCUUAUAGAGUUCAUCAAUCUUUAUCCUAUUGGUAAAUGAACAACGAUUCCAAGUUUAGUUUUUGUGAGAUCUCAUGUCAUAAGAAUGGAGACACCAGUACAAUCAUCUAUGAUGACUGUUGCAAGGUCUAGAAGAUAGAACUUCAGUAUAGCAUGCUUAAGAGAUGUUGAGCAUCACAUAUCAUGACAGAGAGCAACCCAAAAAUGAACGUAUCCAAGCUUUUGUUGGGCAUGUAUUCAUAUAUCAGCAACAUUUCUUUCAAAUGCAGAAUCCUAGAAGCUUCUCGAGGUUUCUGUGCUGAAGCCUCGCAAGGUGUGAGGCUUCACUUUUGAAUUCGUCUAGUCCUUGGCCUGAACUCCUUGAAAGUCUCUUCACUGCAAUUUCUUGAUUGCUCUUCAACAUACCCUGAAAAUAGUCAUAAAUUGUAGGACUACUUAUUUUGUUCACAGGUAUUUUUUGGUCUUUAAUGUUCAAUUUAUCUCUCCUCUUUUUUCACAUUAUCAUAUCUUGCAGAAAUUUUGCACACAGUUAUACCUGAAAGUUCACAAAAAGUGAUUAUGUUUGUAGUAAAUUGACAGAAUCAGAAACUUUCUUUUUCAUCACAUUCUUCCAAUGUAGUUAAAUUAGGCGAAUUAUCCUCCCAAUGUAGUUACAUUAUGCUAUGUCCCAGGUUGUAAGGUAGCAAAUCCAUCCAACAUUAGCCAAGAGAGCCAAGGCUAUUCAAAAUGAAUUCUUUUCUGUGAUUGAUCAGAACUGAUAUAUCGCUGGGUGUUUGAGGUGCAAGUGCAGCUGCUUUUAUGCGAUAUGUUGAGACAGUGCAUCCAUGCUAUUUACCAUAAGAGGGUAGAUAGGUGCAUAAUCAAUCCAUUGAUGCACAAUGUAUU
rnacentral:lncRNA from 1 species